CACUGUAUUCUUUCUCCUUUCCCACUCUCCCCACCAGGGAGCGCGCAGGGUGUGUGUGUGUGUGUGUGUGUGUGUGUGUGUGUGUGUGUGUGUGUGUGUGUUAGAAAGAAAAGAACACUCGCCUCCAGAGUACACGCCACUCCUUCUCCGAGGCCUGGCCUUUCACAGCUCGGCUGCACACUCCUGGAGAGACUCGCACUUUUAAAAAAUAUAAGUGAUAGCAGAGUUGGUGAAUUGUGGCUGUUCGCACUCGAUGACGCAUCCUGGACUCCGGGUCACGUGGAUCUACCCUCUCCUUAGGUUGCUCGGAAGAGGAAGCAGCCUCGUUUAUUUAGUGAGCCCCGAGUAAUGGACGAUUGUGCUAUGUUCAGUUCUGUACUAUCACAGACCACAAAAGACUGUUACUGUUGCAGCAAAAAUAGAAAUCUUUUGAUAAACAAAGAAAAUAAGAAACAAUGAGCAGGCUGGGGAAACAGCAUAAACAGGCCUGAAAGAAUUAAGCAAUCUUGGUUAUACUUUAGCUGUUACUACUAACAAACACUUGUCCUUCACAAAGCUAAGCAAAACCAAUUACUCUCUGAUUCCAUAUGAAUUGUACCCUGCACCUGGCACUUACUCUUGCUGCAUUCUCUUGUAGCAAAUCACCCCUCUUAGCUGUUUACAUUUCAGAAAGAAGGUCUCAGGCCGAUAACCCAGAGGUGAACAGACCCAAUUACCAGGCUGCCUGACGCCAGCAGUAACUUUUAAAAUAUUGGAAGAAGAAGAAGAAUGCAAGACAUUCACCACUUUGAUCCUUUUCACUUACCCUGGACUGCGGGUUCCACCUAUAAGACCCCCUGUAAUUCCCCAGGACAGAGGGGCACAGUUCUUGAGGCGCUGCAUGCUCUGUCUUCCCUUGUGCAUGGAAGAAAAAUAAAGCCAUCUCUCUCUUCCUCCGAAA